rnacentral:pre_miRNA from 1 species
ACUACUUGUCGCUUUGAGUUUUUGUUUGUAAUUUUUGAUCAUUCGUCUUAUUCAAAAAAUUAUGAAAUUAUUAUUUAUUUUGUUGGUGACUUGCUUUAUUAUCAAAAGCACUUUAAGUAUGAAUUAUCCUUUUUUUACAUUUGCAUUAAUUUUUCAAAUAAGACGAAUGGUCAAACAUUACAAGAAAAAAGUGAAAACGGCCACUAAU